GGCUGGCUAAUGUGGAGCUCAGUUGGUAGAGCUCCAGGCUGUGGGUUCAAGCCCCACGUUGGGCA
rnacentral:tRNA from 1 species